rnacentral:rRNA from 1 species
UGGGGAAUAUUGGACAAUGGGGGCAACCCUGAUCCAGCCAUGCCGCGUGUGUGAAGAAGGCCUUUUGGUUGUAAAGCACUUUAAAGCAGGGAGGAGAGGCUAAUGGUUAAUACCCAUUAGAUUAGACGUUACCUGCAGAAUAAGCACCGGCUAACUCUGUGCCAGCAGCCGCGGUAAUACAGAGGGUGCGAGCGUUAAUCGGAAUUACUGGGCGUAAAGCGAGUGUAGGUGGCUCAUUAAGUCACAUGUGAAAUCCCCGGGCUUAACCUGGGAACUGCAUGUGAUACUGGUGGUGCUAGAAUAUGUGAGAGGGAAGUAGAAUUCCCAGGUGUAGCGGUGAAAUGCGUAGAGAUCUGGAGGAAUACCGAUGGCGAAGGCAGCUUCCUGGCAUAAUAUUGACACUGAGAUUCGAAAGCGUGGUAGCAAACAGGAUUAGAUACCCUGGUAGUCCACGCCGUAAAACGAUGUCUACUAGCCGUUGGGGUCCUUGAGACUUUAGUGGCGCAGUUAACGCGAUAAGUAGACCGCCU